rnacentral:sRNA from 1 species
UUCACAGUCCUGGGUAUUGAAAUCCUUCACUUAACCACAGAAUAGGCCUGGCCCCAGCAACAGUACUGCAAAGUUUCAUGCCUUGUCCUACCAAGUGUCCCUCAGUCCUUCUGGUGAGCACUUUAGGGCAUGAGAAUAGUUCAUUCUCCAUGUCUGUUCAAUCAUUGGGCUGUC